rnacentral:rRNA from 1 species
CCGGGAAUUUUGGGCAAUGGGGGCAACCCUGACCCAGCAACGCCGCGUGAGCGAUGAAGGCCUUCGGGUCGUAAAGCUCUGUCGGGAGGGAAGAAGGUCCUCGGGGUGAACAAUCCCGGGGGCUUGACGGUACCUCCAAAGGAAGCGCCGGCUAACUCCGUGCCAGCAGCCACGGUAAUACGGAGGGCGCAAGCGUUGUUCGGAAUCACUGGGCGUAAAGCGCGUGUAGGCGGCUUGGUAAGUCGGGUGU